AGCGAACGUUAGCGGCGGGCUUAACACAUGCAAGUCGAACGAGAAUGAGGGGGCAACCCCUCUAGUAAAGUGGCGGACGGGUGCGUAACACGUGGACAAUCUACCUUCCGGCGGGGGACAACAGUUCGAAAGGACUGCUAAUACCGCGUACGUCGGCGAGGGCUCCGGCUCUCGUCGAGAAAGAUGGCCAAUCCUUGGAAGCUGUCACCGGAAGAUGAAUCCGCGGCCCAUCAGGUAGUUGGUGAGGUAAUGGCUCACCAAGCCUAAGACGGGUAGCUGGUCUGAGAGGAUGAUCAGCCACACUGGGACUGCGACACGGCCCAGACUCCUACGGGUGGCUG
rnacentral:rRNA from 1 species